rnacentral:rRNA from 1 species
CGCGGCCUAUCAGCUUGUUGGUGAGGUAAUGGCUCACCAAGAGUUCGACGGGUAGCUAGUACGAGAGGACGAUUAGCCACACUGCAACUGAGACCCGGCCCAGACUCCUACGGGAGGCAGCAGUGGGGAAUCUUGCAGCAAUGGGCGAAAGCCCAGAGCAGCAACGCCGCCGUGGGGGUUAAGGCUUUCGGGUUGUAAACCCCUUUCAGCAGGGACGAUUCCGACGGUACCUGCAGAAGAAGGGCCGGCCAAGUACGUGCCAGCAGCCGCGGUAAUAGCUAGGGUCCGAGCGUUGUCCGGAUUUAUUGGGCGUAAAGAGCUUGUAGGUGGCUCAGUAAGUCGGGUGCUAAAACCCCAGGUUCAACCUGGGGACGCCACUCGAAAUUGCCGGAGCUUUAGUCUGGUAGGGGAUCAAGGAAUUCCUGGUGUAGCGGUGAAAUGGGCAGAUAUCAGGAGGAACACCAGCCCGAAGGCGGUGAUCUGGGCCAGUACUGACACAGAGAAGCGAAAGCGUGGGGAGCGAACAGGAUUAGAUACCGUGGUAGUCCACGCUGUAAACGUUGGGCACUACGUGUGGGGACCUAUUGACGG